rnacentral:rRNA from 1 species
UACGUAGGGGGCUAGCGUUGCUCGGAAUCACUGGGCGUAAAGCGCACGUAGGCGGCUUUUUAAGUCAGGGGUGAAAUCCUGGAGCUCAACUCCAGAACUGCCUUUGAUACUGAGAAGCUUGAGUCCGGGAGAGGUGAGUGGAACUGCGAGUGUAGAGGUGAAAUUCGUAGAUAUUCGCAAGAACACCAGUGGCGAAGGCGGCUCACUGGCCCGGUACUGACGCUGAGGUGCGAAAGCGUGGGGAGCAACAGG